GAUGAACGCUGGCGGCGUGCCUAAUACAUGCGAGUCGAGCGAACAGACGAGGAGCUUGCUCCUUCGACGUUAGCGGCGGACGGGUGAGUAACACGUAGGUAACCUACCUAUAAGACUGGGAUAACUUCGGGAAACCGGAGCUAAUACCGGAUAAUAUUUCGAACCGCAUGGUUCGAUAGUGAAAGAUGGCUUUGCUAUCACUUAUAGAUGGACCUGCGCCGUAUUAGCUAGUUGGUAAGGUAACGGCUUACCAAGGCAACGAUACGUAGCCGACCUGAGAGGGUGAUCGGCCACACUGGAACUGAGACACGGUCCAGACUCCUACGGGAGGCAGCAGUAGGGAAUCUUCCGCAAUGGGCGAAAGCCUGACGGAGCAACGCCGCGUGAGUGAUGAAGGUCUUCGGAUCGUAAAACUCUGUUAUUAGGGAAGAACAAACGUGUAAGUAACUGUGCACGUCUUGACGGUACCUAAUCAGAAAGCCCCGGCUAACUACGUG
rnacentral:rRNA from 1 species